GAGCUCUACAAAAAGAACUGCAAACCACUGCUCAAAGAAAUUACACAUGACGUAAACAAAUGAAGAAACAUUCCAUGGUCAUGGAUAAGAAGAAUCAGCAUCAUUAAAAUGGCCCUACUGCGCAAAGUAAUUUAUAUAUUCAAUGCUAUCCCCAUCAAGCCACCAUUGACU